AUUGAACGCUGGCGGCAGGCCUAACACAUGCAAGUCGAGCGAGCGGCGGACGGGUGAGUAAUGUAUGGGGACUGCCCGAUAGAGGGGGCUAACUACUGGAAACGGUAGCUAAUACCGCAUACUAUCGGAUAACCCAUAUGGGAUUAGCUAGUAGGUGAGGUAAUGGCUCACCUAGGCGACGAUCCCUAGCGGGUCUGAGAGGAUGAUCAGCCACACUGUGACUGAGACACGGCCCAGAGUCAUACGGAGGCAGCAGUGGGGAAUAUUGCACAAGGGGAGAAAGCCUGAUGCAGCCAGGCCGCGUGUAUGAAGAAGGCUCUAGGGUUGUAAAGUACUUUCAGUCGGGAGGCGUUACCGACAGAAGAAGCACCGGCUAACUCCGUGCCAGGAGCCGCGGUAAUAC
rnacentral:rRNA from 1 species